UAGUGCCUCCGGGGCGCAGCAGUGGGGAAUAUUGCACAAUGGGGGAAACCCUGAUGCAGCGAGGCCGCGUGAUUAAGGAAGUAAUUCGUUAUGUAAAGCUCUAUCAGCAGGGAAGAAAAUGACGGUACCUAAGUAAGAAGCCCCGGCUAACUACGUGCCAGAAGCCGCGGCAAUACGUAGGGGGCAAGCGUUAUCCGGAUUUACUGGGUGAAAAGGGAGCGUAGACGUCAG
rnacentral:rRNA from 1 species